CCAGACUCCUACGGGAGGCAGCAGUGAGGAAUAUUGGUCAAUGGGCGAGAGCCUGAACCAGCCAAGUAGCGUGCAGGAUGACGGCCCUAUGGGUUGUAAACUGCUUUUAUAAGGGAAUAAAGUGAGUCUCGUGAGACUUUUUGCAUGUACCUUAUGAAUAAGGACCGGCUAAUUCCGUGC
rnacentral:rRNA from 1 species